GCCAGUUGCAUGAGCGCUGGGAAAACCACAUCCGCAAUGAUAUCUGCGAGGGCGUUCGGGUCGGGGCUUCCGGUCUCGUCCGCAGCGAGGAUAGUAAACCCGACUUGAAACUCAGGCACGAUGCCAAUGUACGAGCUUUACGAACCAAUUGUGCCCAGGACUGUGUUCACAUAUACCACCGCAGUUUGGGGAUAUUGGCCUCCCCAAUAUAUCACCCAUGGGUGCCCGACAGAGUUUGCAGGAUUGGAAGUGUGGCUAACGGGUUUGUCCCAGCAGCGAGUCUGUGCGGGUGAGAUGAGUGUUGAGGAAAGAAUGGCAUUGCCGACUCUGGAGAGAUCGGACACGGUGGAAA
rnacentral:sRNA from 1 species